GUUUUAUGCAGUUUCCUCUUUCUUCACGUUCUAGACCCGAUCUGCGUAAUGGCGGUGAAGAGGUCACUGAAGAUAAACUGCUCUGUUCUGUAACAGAAUGCAUUGCUGUAUACCCAGCUCUUCAGAAAACCAUCUUAAAUCUGCUGAUGACCACACUGGAAGAAAAAGGAUUUUUGAGUGGACGACAUGUUGAGUGGGUCUUACGUCAAGAUGCAGUGGGCCGCUGUGAGAACCCACUGGUUGUUGAUGAGCGUCCCUCCACAGGUGUGGCUCGACCUCCAGUGUAUGCUGAC